rnacentral:rRNA from 1 species
AGUGAACGCUGGCGGUAGGCCUAACACAUGCGAGUCGAACGGCAGCACAGUAAGAGCUUGCUCUUACGGGUGGCGAGUGGCGGACGGGUGAGGAAUACAUCGGAAUCUACUUUUUCGUGGGGGAUAACGUAGGGAAACUUACGCUAAUACCGCAUACGACCUACGGGUGAAAGCAGGGGAUCUUCGGACCUUGCGUGAUUGAAUGAGCCGAUGUCGGAUUAGCUAGUUGGCGGGGUAAAGGCCCACCAAGGCGACGAUCCGUAGCUGGUCUGAGAGGAUGAGCAGCCACACUGGAACUGAGACACGGUCCAGACUCCUACGGGAGGCAGCAGUGGGGAAUAUUGGACAAUGGGCGCAAGCCUGAUCCAGCCAUACCGCGUGGGUGAAGAAGGCCUUCGGGUUGUAAAGCCCUUUUGUUGGGAAAGAAAAGCAGCAGGUUAAUACCCCGCUGUUCUGACGGUACCCAAAGAAUAAGCACCGGCUAACUUCGUG